UCACAUUACAUAUCUCACUUUUAAUCUAAAUAACACGCCUAACCGUAAUCGUUUCCUCAACACCGGCCGUCCUAGUUUCCACUUUCUCUCCAUGUUCUCUCAAAUCCUGCAACCCCAUCAAUGAACACACGUUGCAUGAAUCGUGAAAGGUCACUCCAAUCAAACCUAAACAUACAUUUUAUUCCUGUAAGCUGCGAAUCCUGCUGAUCCCUUUCCCAAAUCCUCAGUAACCCAAGAUUUUUUUAUCCAACAAGAUCAUCCUUUCUUAAAAUUUUCAAUUGUAGGCAUGCACAGACAUUAUCUUUGGCCUCAUCAUCAUUAAUUGUUGUCCAGAAGUCAGAUGCAAUGACCUCUAGACAUUAGAUUUUGACCGAUGGUCCGAUUUCUUCAACAAUCAACCUCAACCAUUAUCGUGCUAAGGUAAAAUUCCCAUUGUUUUCCCCCUCUUUUUCUUAUGUUUUUCACCUUUUUGCUAUAAUCAUCUGUCAAUCGUCAUUCUCUACUGUCGGUUGAGUUCGAACGGAACCCUAGGUGGCUUCAAUGCCACUAUAAAUAGAGCAUUCAAUUACAUCACCUAAAACAACGAAAAACUACAUUGAAAGUAAAAAAGAGUAUUAAAAGUUUAAACUUUCAACUAAGUUUAAGUUCAAGCUGUACUUCUCUAAUUUCACUUUUUUCUUCCUUUAAUUUAGGUUCGGCUUCAACCUCUGUGAGUUGAUCGUUGUGACUUCUGGGUUCUUAAAUGGAUAUUAGCACAUCUGGCUUGGUUUGCUGCUCAACAGAAGGUCAGUGUACAAUGACCCCAUCUUUAUUUUAAAUUAUUUGUGUAGUCCUAUGUUCAUGAUAUUUUCCCUGUUAAUCAUUCAUUUUUUAUGAUAUAUAUUAGUGACGUAAGACUAUACGUGCUACGUUCUCCUUCUGCAUAUCACUAUCACUGUUGAAUUAAGGAUCUUCCUGAUAAGUUAUGUUGUCUUGUUACUGUUAUCAAAUCAGUUAUAUUAAUGAACUCCGUCUCUCAUGACUUAGGUAGUUGAGAAUGUUUUCUAUAUUGUUAGUACUCUUAAAUCCUAUUAGGACUUGGUGAUUAAUUGAACUAAAUCUUGUGAUAAUAGUACUAUGUAUGAUCUUUUCUUGUUAAUUAAGUAAUAGUCAAGUGUAUAUUGUUACACCCCAUGUUUUUGUACAUGAAUGUACGCCAUAAGUAAAUUGAUGGAAGCUCGGAAAUGAGAUGUUACAUCUCGCAUUUUCGUAUGUUAAAGUUUCGUCGUCAGUUAAUUGGUGUAGAAUCGGGGAUGAGAUUUUCUUGAGAUUAUAAGCAUAUAUGCUAUUUACAACAAGCAAUAAGUAACUGCCGUGAAAGAUAAAGGGUAAAUGAAUCAAAGAAAAUGAGUUUCAUUGAAGGUUGUUGAUUUGGGAUAAAAUAUAAUCCGAGCAAUAACACUCGGUACUUAUGGACUAAUGUCAUACAAGGUACUAUAUGACCGUGAUAGUAAGGUGUACAAGGUAUGUUAAAAGUGAAUAGUAUUUUAAGUAAGUUAAGAUAAUUCUUAAUUAUGUGGGUAAUGGGAUAUUACCUAAUUAAUUAGGAAUAUAUUGGAUGAGGAUUAAAAUUGCAUUAUGUGGCAGACCCCCCCCCCCUCUCCCCCCCUUCAAAUUAAGUGACUCAUAGAUCUAGUUGAAAGGUGGCAAGCUAAAGUGUUAAAUACAAGACACUACAUCCCUCUACGUGUAAAGACAUAAACGAUCUAGUAAUCUUAUAAUGUUUUCCUAUUGCAAAUAUUACAAAAAAGACGUUAAGAAUAUAUAAAGAAAAUUCAUAACAUCUUCAACCAAUUCCUAGAAGGAUUCCAGCGUUAGCAACCUCAAACCAACGAGAUUUCAACAAGAUUUCUUGAAACAAAAAUUCCAACGAGAAUUCUUAGCACCUUAGCAACGUGAGAUUUUGCGAUUCUAAGGGAGUACAGUGCAAACUUUUCCUACAAUAUCAUACGAAUUUUUUCCUACUCCGGGUAUGUUAAGGCUAAGCCCUUCCUUCAUUUUGGCAUGAUCUCAUAAUUACAUGUAUUUGAUAACGAGGCAUGACGAGAAGUUCAUACUCCUGAAUUUAUAUACAUUAUCCUAAUCUUAUAAAUUACAGUAUUCUCCUUAUCGGGACUUCAUAUUUAAUUGAGUAAUGUCGUCUUCCAGUCAAGAGAGAAGAGAGCCUAUAUUUAUACUAUUACGGUAUUUUCAUUACCAUCGAGCUAUAAUCGAUAGGCAGGCCCCUAUUGGGCAACCUCUGAUCAGAUAGUAAGUUAUAUACCAAGCCUACUGUGGUCGAGCGUCUAUGAGCGAGCCCAGCUGGCCGAGAUACAGAGCCUAGUAUGGCUGAGCGCCUAUGAGCGAGCUUACUAUGACAGAGCAGUUGUAUAUAUACCGAGCCUUAUUGGGCCGGAAAACUAUUUUACUUACUAUAUUGAGAGAGUUGAGUCAGUAUCAGCAAGUAAGCAUAUCUUCAGACUAUCUUUGACUCCUAGUUACUUUCAGUUAUUAUAUUAUCAAUUCAGUUCAACUUUCAGUAUAUAUUGCCUUACAUACUCGGUACAUUACUUGUACCGACAUCCCUUUUGCCUGGGGACGCUGCGUUUCAUGCCCGCAGGUCUCGAUAGACAGGUCGAGAGUCCUCCAAGUAGGCGAUCAGCUCAGCGAAAUAUGUUGGUGCACUCCAUUUGCUCUAGAGUUUUUUUUUUGGUCAAUAUGAUUUAGAUAUGUAUUGUUUGGUAUGGCGGGGCUCUGUUCCUACCCUUAUGACAUUAUGUAUUCUUAGAGGCUUGUAGAAAGAUGUCAUGUACGUAAAAGAUUGUAUGGUCUUGUCGGCCUAUGUUCAGUGUACGAGUGGUUAUUUUGGUCUUACAGGCCCAUAUGUCUUAUGUAUAAGUUGGUAUUACAUGUUGUAUUCUACCUAUCACACGGCAUCUCUCCGGCUCAGUAAUCUAUGAUAGUAUAAUACGAAAACAUACGUUAUAUUGGUACUCGGUUGAGUAAGGUACCAAGUGCCCAUCGCGGCCCAUCGAUUUGGAUCGUGACAUAUAUUUUCAUGAUGACUAAGUUGAAGGAAUCGAGCUUUUGGACCCGUCUUGAAGUUCUGCUGAUACCCGCUGCACUGUGCUAUCUUGAUCCUUAUGUCUAUGAUAUUAUGCUGCAUUAUUUUAGUUCCAAUAAAAUGAGUUUUCACCGUUGUUCAUACUUUCAUAUUGAUUUGUUUGACUCUAGUUGACAGCUUGUUCAUGCUACUAUUGUAAAAUAAUUUAUGUAUGUUUCUUAUGAUGAUUUGAGAUAAAAAAGAAAUCACAUAAUGAAAUUUGUUGGUGUGCUCACAUAUCAGGAGGUAGCUUGUUGGGAUUAACUUGUGUCUAUACUCAUCAUGCUGCUUGUACUAGUCCAGUAAUGUUCAUGAAUCUUCACAUUCUCUUAGUUUAGAAAAAUUCAUGUUUAAAUCAUCAUGUUUGCUUUCCUUUAGUCUCACGUUGAUCUUCCCAAAUGGUUAUGCCUGUUCUACUAUGCUAAUCGAGUUGUUUAGUUAAAGAGCCUCAAAUAGCAGUCAUGCUAGGUCUUAUAUUGGUUAUGUCUGGCAGAAAGAAAAUGGUUUCUAUGUUUAUCAUGAUAACCUAGUGAGGAUGUGGGUACAUCUUAACCUAGGGCACCACAGUAAUCAUACUUGUUCAUUUCAAACGAUGUUCUUCAUUCAUCUACCUGUUUAUUUUGGCUAUUUAUGCUUGUUAGUUCUUUCAGGAUCAUGUUAUGUCUAAGACACUAUUUGGGGGGAAGAUUAAAUAUUGCUAAAUUGAGUACUGCCGAUCUUAAUAACUUAACAACUUGAUUAAGUGUCGUUGAACAUGUAUUAUGCCUGUAUGGUCUAAAAUGGAAAGUGUAUUGGUGUAAUCUGCUAGUGAAAUUGCUUACAUGUUUAAGUAAACUUGUUGUGAUUUGUUUGCCCGGCUUUAACCAUCUGAGAGUAAAUAUCUUUACUUGUUGUCUCAUGUCUGUAUGACAUUGCUGUUUAUAGAGGACACUAAUCAUUAAUCUGAAGUUGUGUGGAACUGAUAACUUGAAAACCUGAUAGACUACAACUAGAUGUCAUGCCAUUAGGCCUAAACAACACUAAAACUAACCUUUCUAUUUACAUUUAGGCCUCUGCUGGUUGAUAUCUCUUUGGGAAGUCUGAAUUAGGUUGUUAAUAUAAGUGUUUAGUAAAGAAGGGUCUCAGUUAUGUAUAUGCUUGCUCCAAACUAUUCUGAGACCGUAGAGCUGCCUAUUGACCUACUCUAUGUGACUUGAACCUGUUUCAAAAGAUCCUGAAAUGUUUAACCUUCAAUAGAGUUAAUGAAACUAAUACAUAUGUCCUUCUUUGUCACUCACUGAUAUUAAGAUUACUUAAUGAGGUGUCUUUGAAUUUGAAGUGGUUAGCAAUAGGGCUUAUCUAUCGAUAGCAUACAGUCAACCUUCUUUGUUUGUCACUAAUCCUUAAUUGUGUUCUAUUAUUGAUCCUAUUUUGUGUACACCAAGACCUUAGUUGCCAUCAGAAUUUUAAUGAGCCAUGUUUAGUAACCUAUCCUUAUUAUUAUAACGACCCAACCAGUCGUUUUGAGAAUUUACAUUCCGUUCAGCUAUUUGAAGUCUUGAUCAGCAUCGUACGAUAUUUUAUGACUUGUGUGAAUCGUUAGUUUUUAUUUUUAGGUUAUUCAGAAUUGAUUUGGAAGACUGAUCUUAACUAGGAAGCUUUAAGCUGGAAGAGUUGAGCAAGUUUGACUUCUUAGUACUUGACCUCUGAUCAUAGUUUUGAUGUUUCCGUUAGGUCCAAUGGUGAUUUUAGACUUGGUCAUAUGCUUGGAUUUGAAUUUGGAUAUUUCUAGAAGGUUUCAACACUAUUUAGCGAAAGUUGGAAAUUUGAAGAUUUGAAAUGUUCAUAAGUUUAACUGGUAGUUGACUUUGAUGAUAUCGGGUUCGGAUUGUGGUUCCGGGAAUUGGAAUAGCUUCGUUAUUUUAUUUUGGACUUGUGUGCAAAAUUUAAGUUCAUUCUCAAUUGAUUUGAUUAGGUUCGGCACGAGUUUUGUUCUACGUUAUUUGAGGCCUCGAGUAAGUCUGUGUUAUGUUACGGGGCUUGUUGGUUUGUUCGGAUAGGGUCCCGAGGGGCUCAUGUGAGUUUCUGAUAGGCUUGGGUUCUGUUGCGCUCAUUUUUAAUAUUUCGACGUCGUUUAUUCUAGCAUAAAUGGUACCACAUUAAGAAACUGAGCUCCAAUUUCUGUUUUGAUUGAAGAAUUAGAUCCGUAUCAUAAUUCUAGAACAUAGAAACUAGAAUCAUCAAGUUUUGACAUCGUAUGAGGAAUUUAUAGUCAUUUCACUAUGAAUUGGGUUGACAAUUAUUUAUAGAUUAAUUACGAAAUUGCCACUGAUUUCGUAUUUAAAAAUCUGCACUAUUUUCAAAUAUUGAAACAUUAUAAGGUCAUUAUAAGGUCAAAUGGAGUGAUUUAAAAGCCUAACUUGACUGGAAUUGCACAAGAAAACCAUUGGAGGCAUCAAAAGCGAAUUCCGGGAUCGUUUGUCAUAAGAAACGAGGCAGAACAACUAGGUAGAAACAUAUAGUAUCAUGGAUUUGUCCAUUUGGUCAUAUUUUGACUUGGGGAGGUCGGAUUUGGGCGAUUGUGGAGGCGAUUUUCACCACAUGGAUUGGGUUUUGAGUCGUUCGGAGAAUGGUACGCAUGGGAUGGCAUUUCUAGAGUAUUGUUUAGCUUGCUCGGUAUUGGAUUUGGCUUGUUCGAGGUAAGUAACACUUCAAAACUUGGUACUGAGGGUAUGAAUCCCUAAAUAUACAUGUUAUGUAUUAGUAUUGAGGUGACGCACAUGCUAGGAGAUGGGUGUGUAGGCUUGCACCAUGUGAAUUAUGACUCGGUUGAUUCUAUGGUACUGUGUAGUUAUCUAUCUUGUUUCUUUACAUGUAAUUCCUAUGUGUUGGAGUAAUUGAGUUGUGAUCAAUGUUAGAAAUCAUGUUUAGGUCAAAUAAUUAUUUUAUUAGGACCCAAUGAGGUCAUUUCUGCUGUUGAGUUAUUUGCUUAAAUUGCAAUCAAAUACUCAGUCAUAUUCAUUUAUUUGCAUAUCAUAUCUCAGUCUAUGUUAUCAUUUGUUGUCACAUCAUCUUAUCAUUUUUUAGGCUAAUUGGCAUGAGAUCUUUGAGCCCAAUAGACUGGAGUGAUUGAUGACUGAGUGAGGCUGAGGUCCUGAUUAUGAGUGAUAUUUAUGGGAUCUGGCUGCACGCCGUAGCAUGAUUUAUUGAUUCAUGAUGGGAUCGGGAUGUACGCUGCAGCAUGCCAUGAUUGUCUUAUAUUAGCGAUUGGGCAGGAUCCUCCCCUUCGGAGUCAAACAUACGAGUGCAAGUGCCAAGUGAUUGAGAGUGCCGAGUGAUUGGGAGGUGCUUAGUGAUUGAGAGUGGUGAGUGAUUAGGAGGUGCCGAUUGCUGAGUGUGGUUGAAUACUCCGAGAGUAUGAACAUAUGAGUUAUCACUGUGGUGCAUUACAUUUGACAUGUGUACUGGACAUGGAGGCACAAAGAUGCAUUUCCUCAUGUUAUACGGUAUUGUGAUGUUUAUGACUUUUCAUACACAUUGACAUGUAGGCAUAGAGAUGUACUUUCCUCAUGCUAUCUGAUAAUGGAACAUCUUAUCUAUUGUCGAAAGUUUCUUAGGAAAAAUAAAUGUUUUUAUGACGUACUCGCAUUUUGGCGACUUCGGUGAAAGAUUCGUGUUUUACUGUUAUACCUUAAAAGCAUGCUAUUUUCCAUAACUAUGAGCGAGCUGAGAAACAUAUCUUUGAAUAUUACUUGUGUUGUUUCAUUAUACUGGUACGAGUUGUUCUUGGCUAUUGGUAUUAGACUCUGACCGUUGUCCAAGCUCGUCACUGCUUUCAACCUAAAAUUAGGUUUAUUACUUAUUGAGUACGCGUGGUCCAUUGCACUCAUACUACACUUCUGCACCCCGCGUGUAGAAUUUGGAUUUGAUGUUGGUGUGCAUGGCGGAAGCUGGCAUUGAAGAUGUACCUGCGUUCCGGUUGUAGGUGCCUCUUGUUCACGGUUGCGUUAGAUUUAUAAAAACAAAUUAUGUAUAUUUCGAACAUAUGAUGUAAUUAUUUCAUACCAACUUUGUAAACUCUAAAUUUUAGAAGCUCACGAUUUGUACUACAAAUCCUUGUGAUUUUUGUAUAAAAGUUCAGUUAUUUUAUCAUUUAUUUUUUCAGUAGAUCUGCUUGAGUUGGAUUAUUAAUAAAUUGGCUUACCCAGCGGGUUGGGUUAGGUGGCAUCAUGACUAGUUGGAUUUUGGGUCGUGACAAUUAUGUUGUGUUCUAUCAAGAGUAUUUCAAGUCCAAUAAUGUGUAAAAACCUUACUUGUCUAUCGAUCAGUAUACCAGUAAUGGCUGUAAGGCCAGAUAUGAUAGUUUGAUUGAUGUUUUCUUGUAUGGUUGACUCUUCUUUAUAUGUUUUGUUACAUUAGUUGAGCUAUUGUAUUAACAUUUAUUUGUGUCUAAAACUUUGAGGAGUAGGG
rnacentral:lncRNA from 1 species